rnacentral:rRNA from 1 species
UGGGGAAUUUUGGACAAUGGGGGAAACCCUGAUCCAGCCAUGCCGCGUGUAUGAAGAAGGCCUUAGGGUUGUAAAGUACUUUUGUUAGGGAAGAAAAGCUAGUUUUUAAUAAAAAUUAGUGAUGACGGUACCUAAAGAAUAAGCACCGGCUAACUACGUGCCAGCAGCCGCGGUAAUACGUAGGGUGCAAGCGUUAAUCGGAAUUAUUGGGCGUAAAGCGAGUGCAGACGGUUACUUAAGCCAGAUGUGAAAUCCCCAAGCUUAACUUGGGACGUGCAUUUGGAACUGGGUGACUAGAGUGUGUCAGAGGGAGGUAGAAUUCCACAUGUAGCGGUGGAAUGCGUAGAGAUGUGGAGGAAUACCGAUGGCGAAGGCAGCCUCCUGGGAUAACACUGACGUUGAGGCUCGAAAGCGUGGGGAGCAAACAGGAUUAGAUACCCCCGUAGUCC